rnacentral:tRNA from 1 species
AAGUCCGGGAGAUACUUAAAUCUCUGCUCCAAGUUUGCAACUUGGCGUAUAUACCUCAAGACU